rfam:Oryza barthii chromosome 4, whole genome shotgun sequence.
AAAAAAGGCAAACCUGGGUUUCCGUGCCAACGUUUGACUGUCUGUCUUAUAUGAAUUUUUUUUAUAAUUAGUAUUUUCAUUGUAGUUAGAUGAUACAACAUGAUUAAUACUUUAUGCGUGACUUAUCUUUUUAAUUUUUUUCAUAAUUUUUUCAAAUAAGAUGAACGAUCAAACAUUGGACACGGAAACCAGGGUUUGUCUUUUU